CAAGAAUCUCCAAAUUGAAAGGGUCCAAUAAGCAGCCAAGAACAAUGAAUGAAGACCAACUCCUUGGAACCUCACUGUGAAAUUUCUGAACAGCAAGGAGAAAUGUGAAGAGUCUAAAAAGCUUCUAGAGAGGGGAAGAAAAAGUCACAUACUUAAGCCACUUACAUUGUUAUACUCUAACCUCUGCAACUACCAAGAUAUGAAAUCUCUUUAUGACCUUAACUUUGAGUUUCCCACUUUCUAAUCACCUCCUCUAUGGUUCCCACCCACUCAAUCUAGAACUCCAACCAAUAACUGAGACCCCUGGGUGGCUCUGUGGGUUAAGUGUCCGACUCCUGGUUUCAGCUCAGGUCAUGAUCUCACGGCUUCAUGGGUUCACACCCCACAUCUGACUUUGAACUAGUAGUGCAGAGCCUGCUUGGGAUUAGCUCUCUCUCUGCCCCUCCCCCAUUUGCACUGUCUCUGUCUCUCUCAAAAUAAAUAAAUAAACUUAAAAAAAAAUUAGAACUCCAGUAACUAUUUGAACUCACCAGGAUCCAUAAUCCACUGGUCCCACCAUCUUCUUAUGGAUUGUCUUCCCACUCAAGUUAUUUCCUAUUCAAAUCUGUAGUCCUUCAUUGUAAUCAUUCCCUUAGAUAUUCCAAAUCAAUGCCCUUGCUCUGUUCCCAUUUCACUACACUUAGUGUGACAAAAACCCCAACCAUCUACAAAUGCCAGGCUUGUGUCUGGGGUACCUGGAUGUUGCUGGAGAGUAACUUCCAGCCAUGGUGCCUAUUCCCACUUUGAAUCCAUGAUCGCUAACUUCAGGGAAGCCUUAAGGCUGCCUGGCAAUUCUUCUAGUCCGUUCACUCUCCUGCUUGCCUGGUAAUUACUAUAACCUCUCACAUGUCUAACACCUCCUGUCUCCUUGAUAAUCACACUCUUAGCUGAUGAUUUUGCUUUCCAUUUUACUGAAAAAAUAGCUGUGAUGAGAAGAAAACUUCCACAGGCUCCCAUACCACCAUACAGAGUCCCUCACCUGUACCUAUACGAGUAUCCUCUAUCUUUCUCCUGUUUCUAUGGAACAACUGUCCACAUCAAGGCCAACGCCUCCACCAUCUCCUCUUAUUCACUCAAAUAUCUCUCUGAUAGCACCAUCUUCCCUUUCUGUCAGAUUAUCCCCAUUAACUGAUAAACAUGUUGGUAUUUUGCCCAUCCUUUAAAAAACAGUUUGGCCUGACAGCUCCAUGUAGCUACCCUUCUGUAUCUUCAUUACAUGGUGGCAACAUAAAUCUAUACAACUGUUACAAUUCAGAAGACUGUAUGUCAAAGGAAAAAGAUGUAUAAUUUAAAAAAUAGCAAAAACUUGCUUAAUUUUGAUGUCCAAAAUGAGAGUUCAAAAGGUGCCCAGAUACAAGAUGUUAUACAAAUGUUACAGCAUUUCCUUAACAACUAAGGAAAAAAUUCCAUUCACAACAGCAAAAAAAAUUUUAAAUACCCUGGAAUGAACUUAAGAAUUAUGUAAAACUAUU